rnacentral:rRNA from 1 species
CCUACGGGUGGCAGCAGUGAGGAAUAUUGGUCAAUGGACGAGAGUCUGAACCAGCCAAGUAGCGUGAAGGAUGACUGCCCUAUGGGUUGUAAACUUCUUUUAUAAAGGAAUAAAACGAGGCAUGUAUACCUUCUUGUAUGUACUAUAUGAAUAAGGAUCGGCUAACUCCGUGCCCGCAGCCGCGGUAAUAAGGAGGAUCCGAGCGUUAUCCGGAUUUAUUGGGUUUAAAGGGAGCGUAGAUGGAUUGUUAAGUCAGUUGUGAAAGUUUGCGGCUCAACCGUAAAAUUGCAAUUGAUACUGGCAGUCUUGAGUACAGUAGAGGUAGGCGGAAUUCGUGGUGUAGCGGUGAAAUGCUUAGAUAUCACGAAGAACCCCGAUUGCGAAGGCAGCUCACUAAACUGCGACUGACAUUGAUGCUCGAAAGUGUGGGUAUCAAACAGGAUUAGAUACCCUAGUAGUC